rnacentral:tRNA from 1 species
GGAGAGAUGGCUGAGUGGUCGAAAGCGGCACCCUGCUAAGGUGUUGAGCCCUUCACGGGGCUCCGUGGGUUCGAAUCCCACUCUCUCCG